rnacentral:rRNA from 1 species
GAUGAACGCUGGCGGCGUGCCUAAUACAUGCAAGUCGAGCGAACAGAUGAGGAGCUUGCUCCUCUGACGUUAGCGGCGGACGGGUGAGUAACACGUGGAUAACCUACCUAUAAGACUGGGAUAACUUCGGGAAACCGGAGCUAAUACCGGAUAAUAUAUUGAACCGCAUGGUUCAAUAGUGAAAGACGGUUUUGCUGUCACUUAUAGAUGGAUCCGCGCCGCAUUAGCUAGUUGGUAAGGUAACGGCUUACCAAGGCAACGAUGCGUAGCCGACCUGAGAGGGUGAUCGGCCACACUGGAACUGAGACACGGUCCAGACUCCUACGGGAGGCAGCAAUAGGGAAUCUUCCGCAAUGGGCGAAAGCCUGACGGAGCAACGCCGCGUGAGUGAUAAAGGUCUUCGGAUCGUAAAACUCUGUUAUUAGGGAAGAACAAAUGUGUAAGUAACUAUGCACGUCUUGACGGUACCUAAUCAGAAAGCCACGGCUAACUACGUG